rnacentral:rRNA from 1 species
UAGGGAAUCUUCCACAAUGGACGCAAGUCUGAUGGAGCAACGCCGCGUGAGUGAAGAAGGGUUUCGGCUCGUAAAGCUCUGUUGGUAGUGAAGAAAGAUAGAGGUAGUAACUGGCCUUUAUUUGACGGUAAUUACUUAGAAAGUCACGGCUAACUACGUGCCAGCAGCCGCGGUAAUACGUAGGUGGCAAGCGUUGUCCGGAUUUAUUGGGCGUAAAGCGAGUGCAGGCGGUUCAAUAAGUCUGAUGUGAAAGCCUUCGGCUCAACCGGAGAAUUGCAUCAGAAACUGUUGAACUUGAGUGCAGAAGAGGAGAGUGGAACUCCAUGUGUAGCGGUGGAAUGCGUAGAUAUAUGGAAGAACACCAGUGGCGAAGGCGGCUCUCUGGUCUGCAACUGACGCUGAGGCUCGAAAGCAUGGGUAGCGAACAGGAUUAGAUACCCUGGUAGUCCAUGCCGUAAACGAUGAGUGCUAAGUGUUGGGAGGUUUCCGCCUCUCAGUGCUGCAGCUAACGCAUUAAGCACUCCGCCUGGGGAGUACGACCGCNAGGUUG